CCCAGAGUAGCGUGUGGGCUUGGGUCUCCCCCCCACACCCUCCCCCUUGCACUGCACCUGGCUGCAGAGGAGCAUGGCCAAUACAGCCUGCAACUUGCCCCUGAAGUGAGGGGCUAGACUUUAGGCUGUGGUUGGCCCCUGCAGCGGGUGCAAGCUGAAGGACUGCUGUGACUCCCAGAAAGGGGGUGAGAAAGAAGUAGUGGGCACUGCCGGAGGACAGUGUCCUGAAGAGGACAUGGCUGAGCGGAGGAGCAACAGUGGAGUAGAACAAAUAAUGGGCAAGACAUCACCCACAGAGGGUGCUCCGGAGCUGGACUGAACUAAAUCCCCGAGCAACCAGCAGAAGGUGCUGCGGUGAUGGCCGUGCUUUGGAGCAGGGAACAUUUGUACAGUGUCAGCUCAACUGGGGACUCUAGGCAUUAUCGUACUACAUAUAAUAACGAACAGCUUGUUCCAAAGGAUCAUCAUCGGUAUCACUUGUGCGUUUGCCAGGAGAAGCACAGAACUGACUCUCUGCAAACAGCUAAUGGUGUGACCCAACAGCUGUGUCAUACCAUCUAAGAGCCCGAGUCAUGGACCAGAACCCCAUUGUGCUAGGUGCUGUACAAACACAGGACAAAAAGACAGCCCCCGCCUUGAAAAUCUUACUCCUCCAUGUGUCCCGGCUUCACAGGAUCUCUGCAUGUUAAAAGCUGGUGGGAAACCAUGGGAUUUGGGGUCCUUUGAGGACUGUAGAAUUUUCCCCAAUGGGACCAUGCACAAAAGCAAGGCUGGUCACGUAAGGCAUUCAAGCUCAGGCUGUAACACGCAUAUUCCCAGCUGAAUGGCCUACACAAGUCUCACUAGAGGUUACACACAUGCAUCCAGGGGCUCGUUGACCUCUUUAAUAGUCGGAGAGUCAAGCUGUAAAAAGCUAAAACGUGAAUAACGGAAGAUUCAGACUUGCUCAUCUUUGCCUAAUCCUGCUCCCAGGGGUAAACCUCUCUCUGAUUUCAGUGGGAUCAGAGGUUGGCAAACGCCAAGGAUGAAAUCCUGACCCUAUUGAAGUCAAUGUCAAAACUCCCAGUGAUUUCAAUGGGGCAAGGAUUUGAAAAUGGGGCAAGGAUUUUGAAAAUCCCACCCUAGAACCUGGAAGAUAAUCCCACCCUAGAACCUGGAAGAUAAUACUGAAACUCCCCCUUUAACUGACCCCUUGGCCCAAGCAUCUCCAUCCACAGAGAGACAGGUCCUCACUGGCGAGUCCCACUGCAGGCCACCCGGCUGUUUGUGGAAUGAGAUGUUCUUCAGCACGAGUAACUGGCUCAAGAUGAGUAAUAUCAUCGUGAAUCAUCAUGCAGCUGGAGGGGGUCCCAUCCUGCUCCCACUAAAUCAGCAGCAAAACUCCCCUGGAGGAAGCUCUAUCAAGUUGCUUAUAUGCCACAAAUGACAAUUGUGGCAGUGGGAUUUGAAGCAAGAGGUCUAGCAAUGAAGGUUUCUGGCUUUUCUGAGCUUUAAGUCAAUCACUCAGGCCACAUUUGCAAAGCUCUGGCCCUUGGGGUGAAUUAGAGGAGACGUGAGGCUGCUCUAAUAUAUGCCUCCCGUUACGCCAGCAAUGAUUGCCAGAGGACAGCACGCCCCCUAUGGUGGAGGGGGUGACAUGGAGUUGGCUACAUCAGCUUGCAGGGAAUUCUGCUACUUCAGGAGUUUCUCCACCUGUCUGUUUCGGGCAGUAUUUGGGCCCUUUUGUGCCGCUGGAGCACCCAAAGGAGCAGUAGCAUAGUGCAGGAUCUGGUUCCUAUGACUUAUUUCAAUGUCUUUUCCUUUGGUCGAAUUUCUUUCCUAACUGUUAACGUUGGAGGAUUUUUUUUUCUUGACACACUGUAUACGCUGCUCUAAACCAACAGCUUGACUUGACCAGGAAACAAAAAUUAAAAGACUCUGGGGGUCCUAAAUGUACUUCAGGCAAAGAGCAGCCGGCUAGCUGUACAAAACCCCUGGUUUCAGGGCCUGAAACUAACUCUCUAAGAUAGCAAGACAGAGGAGCUCAUGAAUAUAUGGAUUGCAUUGAGUCACAUCCAAAAAUAUCAUCACAGACCCAAGCAUGCUCAGCUACUCACACAAGUCAGUCACAUAAUUAACUUAAAUUGAACUGCUUAAUCCAGAUCCUCUGUUGGUAUUAAUCAGCAGAGUUCCACAGAAGUCAAUAGAGUUACAAUAGUUUACACCAGUAGAGAAUCUCGGCCUUGGAGUAUGAAAGCUAGCGGGAUCUGGCAUGUGUAUUUCAUCCCCAGGUGGACAAAUCUACUCAGAUGAAAUAGGAGCCUUCUCCCAGCACACAAGAGAGUUGGUCUGACAUUCCAAUUUGAUCUUGGAAUGGAACCUUUCUUGAGGUUAAUGCACUUCUGAAUUUCAAUCUGGCCUCAAGCAGCAAGGACCGAAACCUUAUAAGACUUCCAGCCUGAUUUCAAAGACCCAAGAGUUUUAUGUCAUUUGGAGUCACCUCCAAACUUUCUGAUGCCGAGCCAGACUCCUAAUUCUCAGCCGUUAGGAAGGUCACCGGCCACUAACAGUUUGCAGCCAGAAACGUGAGUGUCUGAAACAUCUAGUGAUGUAACGGAAUGAAAACAAUGGAGUUUCACCCAUUUACACUGGCAGAAAAUUAUGCCCACAGUUGCCCCGCAAGUGUAGACAGAAGGCUAGACUCUGCUCAGUUAAACUAGGGUAAAUGAGAGCAGACUCUGACACAUGGCCUUGCAACCAACUUUUUAAAAAAAGGCUUCUCCUUCUGUAACGUUUUCUCACAAAAUGUUCUCUUCUAAUAUGUUCUUUCCAAGCUUGGAACAUUCCUUUCCCAGAAAUCUCCUACGGAUCCAGGCAGCAACCCUAAUUCUGUAACUUCAUUGUACAAAUAGUAACAUUGUAUUUGCAUUCACAAUGGGAAAGGAUUGGGCACUAUUUGUUACUUUCUCAGACUUGUGUGACAGAGUCAAAUGCCGUUGAGACCCAGACAUAGACAGUUAGUUAAAGUUAAAGCCUGGUAUUUUACCAUACAGCCGUACAAAGAAGAGCAUUCUCUUCUGGAACAAGGAAUCUGAAACAUUUCCCUUUGAAUGAUUCAUGGCAAAGGCAGAGCGAGAGGUAUGCAUUCUAAUAUUCAAACCUACUUGCUCAUUAAAGCAAAAACUUCAGGCUCAUGAUAAACCAGUCGAGCUGAAAGGAGGCAGCAGACAGUGAUCCUGAAAGCUUGCAGAAUCAACAUUUCCAAGUGACUGCCUUCCCAGCUCCACAGAACUUUUCAACCCAAAAUGUCACAUCCACCAGGCUACAAAGGAGGGGACAGAGGAGAGGAAAUUUCUUCCCGUCUGACUCUUUUUACAAACCUCCAAAACUGGGAGCAACCUUGAACUUCAAGACAUUUUUCAACACAUCCCAAGAGGGCCAAGUUUUCAGGAGCUCAGCACCCACAACUGGAGCCAGAGUGUCAAACAUUUUUCUUUUAAACUCUUUUGGGGUUUUGUACCCUGCAGGGUUUUGUUUUGUUUUUUACAGAUCGACAUUGUUAAAAAAACAGAGAAAAGAGAUGGUCCUGGCCCCAACACAUGGAGGACCAUUAGUUAUCAUGAGGACCAUUAGUUAUCAUGAUCCUGUCAAACACAACAGUACUGUGGGCUAAGUUUUUGGUCUGUUUUAAUAGCCGUCUUUCAUGUACCGCAGUGAAGGCAAAUGAAAUACUCAACAGGGGUGAGGGCUAAUAGGAGCCUAUAUAAGAAAAAGACCCAAAAAUCGGGACUGUCCCUAUAAAAUCAGGACAUCUGGUCACCCUACUCUGGGGGCUGCUGCAGUACAAAUAAUAAUCAGAUCUCUUAGGCAAGCUCACCACUUUCCACGUCAAGGGCCGGGCACCUUUCUUUGACCUUGUCUCUCCUAACAAACACAAAGCAACAUCUAUAGUUAAAAAAUAAAGCGACAGCAACACCGAAAAACCACCAACCAACUUACCCCACACACCCACACCCACAAAACCCUACCAAAAGAAGACACUCCCCCACUCGUGCUUCUCCCUCCCCCCACCCCAGGGAAGAGGAUGAGCCAACAAACAAGUGACUGAUGUGUAAUGACCUUCCUUAAUGCACUGCUGGAAAGUGCUCCCAUGCUGUGGGGAUGAGUGAAGCAUACGAAGCUAUCUAGAAUAGGCUUCAGUUCGCCAGCCACUGCAAACAGCACUGCCUCCCUUACUAAUAUGAAGGAGAUUAUGACACAGAUCUAUGGGGGGGGGGAAACAAGGAGGAAAUAAGCCACAUAUAAACCCAAUUCCAACACAAUAUAGUGCAAUACGGGACCCAUUCAUUCCACCUCCCAGCCCUACCAACCAGGCAUCAAAGGAUAAAUACUUAUUUUAUAAACUUUUUCCAUCAGGAACUGUUUCUCACUAUGCGGCUGUGCAGCACCUUGCACAGUGAUGCCUUGAUCUUGGUUAAAUUAUCUCGGUGUUACUGCAAUGCAAAUAGUAAGUAACAAUAUUUGGGUGGGGUGGGGGAUCCUCCCUGAUGAAAGGCCAAAUUCUCUGCUCGGCGAAAUGCCAUUAAGUCAAUGGAACUGCACCCAUUUAGACCAGCAGCCUGGAUAAUCCCUUUGGGAAAAAAACAAAGCUGUUAUCUCUGAGAACGGGAUUAUGGAGUGGAAUCACUAACACACCCUUAAUCAAAGUUACCAACAUGACCCACUUGCUUCUGCCCCGAUACACUGAAACAAGCAGUGCUGUAUAAGCAACGUGGAACAUGGACCAGAUCCUUAUAGUUGGUGUAUAUUGGAGUAUCUCCAUGGAUCUACUUUGAUUCACACCAGGUGAAGCUCUGGCUCAUUAUCUAUCCAGAUUUCCUGCUGCAGAAUCCAACAGCGUGCCUGUAGGUGGUCCAGAAAUGCUGACUUGAAAAAGAUCUGAAUGCAGCAUCUGUGACCCUUUUGCAGAACUUUUCUUGUGUUUGUUUCCUAGGAUUUACUUUUUCUCUUUGUGUCACUUGCUUUUCAUUUAUUUUGAGACCUUUCAGUUUGAAAUUCAAAACACUUGUCAGUCACAUCAAUCCUUCCCCACAAAAUGUGGCUGCCAGUUGGAUGUGUUAAAAAAAAAACCAACAAAAAACCCCACAGCUUCGAUCAAGCUGUGACUUCAACACCCUAUUCAAUGCCACCAAGACAAUGUUCAGAGCAAAUGAAAUACAAAGAUCUGAGUUUUCAUACUUGGUGGUGGAACUAAAUUGAUUAAGGUCAUUUCCUAGGUAGGUUCGAACUCUUCUGUAGCAAUUUUUUUUUAAAGAAAAAGAAAAACCCCUCCCUAAAAAAGAAAAAGUCAUUGCUGCAAAAGCAUUAACUCUGCCUGGAUAACUCAGAAUAUAUGUUGGCACGGCAACAUAUCGCAGCCUGAACCAUAAUAUGUCAGUGGCUCUGCUAUGUAUGAAAGAGACUUGGGUUUCAAAAUAUCAUGCUGAAUUUGCUUCUUUUCAGUGUUUCAUGGUAAAGUAUUUGAUGUUAAUCCUUUUGCUGCUGCAAUCGAUAGGGUGACCUUACUUAAAAGUUCCCUGAUCUUUGCUGUUGUCAGGAUUGUGCUGUUAAAAUGUAAUUUAAUUCUUUUGCUUUCUUCUGAAAAUAGUAUAGGACAGGAUGUUAGUAUUUUUCUUUUCCUACCUUGAAAAGUAAAGGUAAAAAUCAUCAGCCGGCUUUGAACUACUGAAUAACAGGAUCCAACAUGAUAUAGAACAUCAUGGACCAGAUUCUCAGCUGGUGUAAAAUGAGUUUAGCUUGGUGGAUCUCCCACUUUGCAAUGGCACUAAGCUGAUCUACACCGCCAAAGGAUCUAGCCCCUUGAUUUGUUUUAAUAUUUCUGUGUAUAGAUUAUAUAAGGUGACAAUCCCAGGAGGCCAUUAUGCAGAGUGAAUAGCAGCUUUCAACAGGACCACAUGAAUAAGAACAUCAGGACCUGGCCUUGUGGUGAGGGAGCUCCCAAGCUAUCAUUCAGUAAUGGAUCAAUGAGCUGGACCCCACAGUAAGAAUGGAAUGGAUGGGUGAUGAUGACCCUCAUAAUUAGAAUUCCUAGUGAAAGGAAUUAAUGUGAAUCAUUAAAAGAGGAGUCUAUACAAAUAAGGUAGGAUAGAAUAUCCACUGCAAAAGAUGAGGGUGUUGUUUUUUCCUUUCCUUUUAUGUAUAUUUUUGUGGUUCUUUUGUAUUCUAAAGCCAAAUCGUGACGUCUCCUUAUUCCAUUCUGCCCUUAGACAAACUAUUCACUAAACGCAGCGUGUUAAUCAAGUGAGAACUAGAGAGCUGAACCCCCAGCCCUAACUCGUGGAAUUGACUCACUGGAGUAAUUUCACCAUCAGCGGGACCAUACGUGUAAGAAUUAUUAAUGUGAGUAAUGUUUGCCGGAUCAGGCCCUUAAAUAAGUACUUCAUGAUCUGUCCCUUAUGCUGUUGACCAAUGUAAAUAUGUUUUAUAUUGGAAAUGUAAUACCCUUUUUGAACAUAAGCUACUGGUUAGCAGAAGAACAAAAGCAGAAGUCCUCGCAGAACAGCAAGUGCUGAAAGGAAAGAGAGAGACUCAGUAUAGCUAUAAUGAUAACUCUGUACUAUAACAUAGAGCACUGACAGCAAUAUGUACUAUAAAUACACCCCUACCUCGGUAUAACACGACCCGAUAUAACACAAAUUAGGAUAUAAUGCAGUAAAGCAGUGCUCUGGGAGGGCAGGAGGG